UUUGAUGGCGACCGGCGCACGGGUGAGUAACACGUAUCCAACCUGCCGAUGACUCGGGGAUAGCCUUUCGAAAGAAAGAUUAAUACCCGAUGGCAUAGUUCUUCCGCAUGGUGGAACUAUUAAAGAAUUUCGGUCAUCGAUGGGGAUGCGUUCCAUUAGGUUGUUGGCGGGGUAACGGCCCACCAAGCCUUCGAUGGAUAGGGGUUCUGAGAGGAAGGUCCCCCACAUUGGAACUGAGACACGGUCCAAACUCCUACGGGAGCAGCAUG
rnacentral:rRNA from 1 species